ACUACGGGUGGCAGCAGUGAGGAAUAUUGGUCAAUGGACGGAAGUCUGAACCAGCCAUGCCGCGUGCAGGAAGACGGCUCUAUGAGUUGUAAACUGCUUUUGUACAAGGGUAAACCUGAAUACGUGUAUUCAGCUGAAAGUACUGUACGAAUAAGGAUCGGCUAACUCCGUGCCAGCAGCCGCGGUAAUACGGGGGAUACAAGCGUUAUCCGGAUUUAUUGGGUUUAAAGGGUGCGUAGGCGGAUCGAUAAGUUAGAGGUGAAAUGUCCGAGCUCAACUCGGGAACUGCCUCUAAUACUGGUGAUCUAGAGAGUAGAUGCGGUAGGCGGAAUGUAUGGUGUAGCGGUGAAAUGCUUAGAGAUCAUACAGAACACCGAUUGCGAAGGCAGCUGACCAAUCUAUAUCUGACGUUGAGGCACGAAAGCGUGGGGAGCAAACAGGAUUAGAUACCCCAGUAGUC
rnacentral:rRNA from 1 species